rnacentral:misc_RNA from 1 species
CCUCCGUCCUCCGUCGCCAUCACCAUCCACGCUAAGCCUGGCGCCAAAUCCUCCUCCAUCACAGAUUUCAGUGAUGAAGCGUUAGGGGUGCAAAUAGAUGCCCCUGCCAAGGACGGUGAAGCUAACGCCGCUCUCCUUGAUUAUAUUAGUUCUGUAUUAGGUGUGAAAAGAAGACAGCUAUCCAUAGGUGCAGGUACUAAAUCAAGAGACAAAGUGGUGAUUGUGGAGGAGGUAACUUUGCAAGGUGUUUUUGAUGCUUUGGACAAAGUGUCAAAGUGCUAUUGAUGGAUAGAAGUACAUGAGAGAUUCAAAUACCAUCAA